GCCUGGGUGGCUCAUUCAGUUGAGCAUCUGACUUCAACUCAGGUCAUGAUCUCACGGUUUGUGGGUUCGAGCCCCACGUCGGGCU
rnacentral:tRNA from 1 species